AGUAACGCGUGGGUGACCUGCCUUGUACUGGGGGACGAACAGUUGGAAACGACUGCUAAUACCGCAUAAGCGCACAGCUUCGCAUGAAGCAGUGUGAAAAACUCCGGUGGUACAAGAUGGACCCGCGUCUGAUUAGCUGGUUGGUGAGGUAACGGCCCACCAAGGCGACGAUCAGUAGCCGGCCUGAGAGGGUGAACGGCCACAUUGGGACUGAGACACGGCCCAA
rnacentral:rRNA from 1 species